GUCUCUGCUAAAUUAUUUCUUCAGAGGAAGCAAAGCCCCUUAUAUGGUUUUACACUCCAUUCCUAAGACACUUGGAGAUGUCUUCUUUCUGCUCUCAUAGAGCGGGUGCUCAUUUCUUUUGAAUCUGAGGGCUUUUAGGACCUUAGGGGUUUCCCAGGCCACCACAUUGGCAUCUAAGCAUGGCAAAAUCAACCCUCUGAGACUGCUCCUGUCACUCCAGAAUUUGUGCAGGGGAAUGUCCAGGCGAGUAGAGAGAGCAGUGCUCAAGUUCCCUGCUGACCAACUCUGCCGGUCUCCACACACACUGCAGAGCUAUGCCCAAGCCCCAGGAAGGAACGUCAUCUCCAGGCUUUCCUCUGAGCUCAGGGACACGAUGUGCUCAUUUUUCUGAGAAAAACACUUUAGUGAGAAGUGACAGCAGACGGUCCUGCAGCUGCACAGAGGCCAGACUGGGACUGCCAGUCCCUGCAGCUCCCCUCUCCCAUCAGGCAGUUUUUGUUAUUGCAGGAUAUUCUGUCCCUGUUUACAAGUUGCCUUCAUUUGAUAGCUGCCUCCAGUUUUCAAAAGAGCUUUCGGGUUCUGUCGGGUUUUUGCUCCAGCACAUCACAGCCAAAAUAAUCAUGACAUCCCUAGAGCAGUAGUUCUUAGCUCUGUUCAUUAGAAUCACGUGUGGAACUUUUAAAAAUUCUGACGUGGACCUGGGCUCUAGACCAAUUACCUCAUAAUCUCUAUGGGUGGUAUCCAGGCAUCAGUAUUUUAUAGUUUCUCACAUGCAGCCAACAUAGAAAACCAGUGCCUGAGGAUAUUCCAACAAGCAGUUCUAUUUCUUUUAAGGACUUCUCACUUGUCCCGCCUAUCAUGUCCAAACCUGCUUGACACAGGCUGUUUCUCUGGAUACCUGCUGUGAUGCAGCCAAGAAGUUGCCAGGUUCAAUGCCUGAGUGGCAGUCGCAAUGCUGCUUGACUACCACAUGCCAGACCAUGUGACUUGGUAAGGACCGUGUGCUGGAACAGAGCCUCGUUCUUUUAUGUAUCUCAGGAUGACCCAAGGCUUCUCACCUCCUUAUCUCCUCCCACACACCUGGGGUGAGCUCUGGACUGAACUAGCCUUAGUUCUAGGACCAAAUACAUACCCGAAAUGACAGCUGAGAAUGGGCCUUCCAGUUCAAGAUUGCAUGGAUCUUAAAUCAUUCAUUUAAUCCUCAGAGCUGACUUUAUCAAUAUAUUCUAAAGUAUUGGCUUUUC